rnacentral:tRNA from 1 species
GGCCCGCGUGGUCUAGUGGUAUGAUUCUCGCUUCGGGUGCGAGAGGUCCCGGGUUCGAUUCCCGGGUGCGGCCC